GGAAUAUUGCACAAUGGGCGAAAGCCUGAUGCAGCAACGCCGCGUGAGCGAUGAAGGCCUUCGUGUCGUAAAGCUCUGUCCUCAAGGAAGAUAAUGACGGUACUUGAGGAGGAAGCUUCGGCUAACUAUGUGCCAGCAGCCGCGGUAAUACAUAGGGAGCAAGCGUUAUCCGGAUUUAUUGGGUGUAAAGGGUGCGUAGACGGGAAAUUAAGUUAGUUGUGAAAUCCCUCGGCUUAACUGAGGAACUGCAACUAAAACUGAUUUUCUUGAGUACUGGAGAGGAAAGUGGAAUUCCUAGUGUAGCGGUGAAAUGCGUAGAUAUUAGGAGGAACACCAGUGGCGAAGGCGACUUUCUGGACAGUAACUGACGUUGAGGCACGAAAGUGUGGGGAGCAAACAGG
rnacentral:rRNA from 1 species